CCAGCCUAUGCAACAAGCCCCAGCACCCUGUGCAGCCUCCACGACGCUGGACGCACACGUGAGGCUGUUCCAGCCACGCGGAAAUACCGAGAAGAGCUGACCCUGGGGAAGCGCUCACCACGUGGACUCGAUGGAAAAACGAAGGCUUGAGAGACGACACUCGGGCGGUAUGACACCCAGCCCAGCGGCUGCACGGGGCCGGCAGAUAAGGCCACACCACGCCUCCCGCGGUAACCCGAGGACCCGGGGAGGAGCCCCCGCCCUCCUCCAGCGCCCUGGCCCAGCCUCGGCUGACUCAGCCCAGCAUGGUGUGUGGGACCCCCGGGCAGGGGGAGGGGC